AGUGGUGACUGUCAAGGUGCAAUGAUUAUAUGUUGUGAUCAAACUUAUAGGAAAAUUUGGUCGUUUUCUAUGUUGGUUCAGGGUUGGCGUCAUCUGAGGUCCUCGGUGGGGUUGGCAUCUUCUCUUCUCAGGUGUCUGGUUCCAGACUGAAGCUUUA